rnacentral:lncRNA from 1 species
GAAUAUUUAGAUUUUUUUGUCACGAAUUGCGCCAUGCGCACGACCCUUCUUUACCAUUCGGAUAGUGUCUGGGACGCACUAACAAAAUGCCGCUAUUCGGAUAUAACGAUGGAUUAUUUUGGACCAAACCAACAUUUGUUAUUGAAGUAGCAGUCCUGGGAGUGCAUUCUGACGAAGACAACAAAAGGUUAUCAGCUGUGUCGGUGAACCCCUCCUGCAUCUGAACUAUCUACAUACAGUGGGGGGGGGACAGUAUUUGAUCCCCUGCUGAUUUUAUAUGUUUUGAUGUGAGAGGAUGCCAACCCCCCAGUCCCACCAUCGCCACCUCACCCGCUUUUAAGAUAACCUUCGGGCUGACUAGAGAUUUUGUAAAUGUGAUGAACUGAGAGAAUAUUUGGGUGUGAUUCAUUAAUCAUAUGCUGCCUUCCCUGCUCCUAUGUUCUUACCUCUUUCCCUGUCUGUCUUUUACACCUCUCUUGCCACCUCUUUCUUCCGGUUUUUAUAAUGCACAACAGAAGUACAGAUUGAACUUGUAUUUAUAAUAUUACAAUUAUAAUAUUUAUAAUGCAUGUAUUCAUAACACUUGAAUAAUGAACUUUCAAUAAGGUGUUUCACAUUCUCUACUGGUUGAAAUUAAGUCUAAUUUGAUGAAAUACUACACCUUUCCUGUUUAUCAGAUCAAUGCAGAUGAAGGGCAUUAGAUAUUGAGAUGAACCGGUUUUAGAGUAUUUACAUGAUAGGAAGUGUAGUGUACUGUUUUUUAAAAUUAUAUUUCUGUAUAUAUGAAUUACAAAUCAGCCAUUAACUAGUAAAAUCCUGUUUCUAGUCUAUUAGUUACAAUGUGUAACCAUUGAUGUCCCAGGACCAAAUUGGUAAACACUGUUGAAGUGUAUAAUUGUAAUACAUACAUGCAGACACAGCAUCAUACAAAGACUGGAAGACUGAGGUUCAUAGCUAGGCUCUGAACUAAUAUGUAUACCAAACAUGUGGGUCCAUACACAGAUCAGCUAGAUAGCUAGCUACACAUCCAUAGGCAUACAGGUAUUUUUAUCUGCCACUGCACAAUAAGCAAGAACAUAGCUAGCUACGUUAUUUAAUCUAUCUGCAUUGCAUAGCAAAUAUCAGCAAGGCAAGCUUACAAACUUGUACAUUCAAUUUGCAGUAAAUGCUUUAGCUAGCAAGAUUCUUUAGAUCCACUGUUUCACAAGAUGACAGCCUGGUUUGCUGGUUGUUUCAGGAGUCCCUAAAACAUGAAACAACCAGAAUUACAAUUUCAUACUCAUGUCACAACACCCAUAAAGCUAGC